rnacentral:lncRNA from 1 species
CAAGCCUUAUUACAGAGGGCGUGGACACAGGGAGGAGUGAAGAAUCGUGGUCGUUUCUGCAAUCUCCCGCAGAAAGGGCACAUGAAUCAAUGCAGACCUCUCUCCACUGCAACAAAGAAAGUCUUCAUGCGCUCAUUCAAACGCAGGCAUUGUCCCAGUUGAAGGCCUGAAUAGCUCAAAAACGCUGACCCUACCCUGGUUAAGAGAAUUACCCCUGCCUUUGGACUUGAAUGGCAACAUCAGCUCUUCCUGGGUCUCGAGCCUGCUGGUCUUCAAACUGGAACUAUACCGUCAGCUCUCCUGGUCUCCAGCUUGCUAACUCACCCUGCAGAUCUUUGGACAUGCCAGCUUCCACAAACACGGUGAAACUUAAUAUCCAUUUUAAUCUGACCUCAAAUGGAUAAAGCUGGAUCCUGGAGUGAGGCAGACUCUGUUCAAACCCGUGCUGCACAACCUGCGGGCUGUGAGAUGUGACCUUGGGCAAGUUACUUAACCUCUCCGAGCCUCACCUCCCUCAAUGAUGCAGAGAAAAUAAUAGUGCCUGUUGCACAGACGUGUUGUUGGAGUUAAAUAAUAAAGUCUAUCUAAGGUGCUUCC